AGAGUUUGAUCCUGGCUCAGGACGAACGCUGGCGGCGUGCCUAAUACAUGCAAGUAGAACGCUGAAGGAGGAGCUUGCUUCUCUGGAUGAGUUGCGAACGGGUGAGUAACGCGUAGGUAACCUGCCUGGUAGCGGGGGAUAACUAUUGGAAACGAUAGCUAAUACCGCAUAAUAGCAGUUAUUGCAUGAUAACUGUUUGAAAGGUGCAAUUGCAUCACUACCAGAUGGACCUGCGUUGUAUUAGCUAGUUGGUGGGGUAACGGCUCACCAAGGCGACGAUACAUAGCCGACCUGAGAGGGUGAUCGGCCACACUGGGACUGAGACACGGCCCAGACUCCUACGGGAGGCAGCA
rnacentral:rRNA from 1 species